rnacentral:rRNA from 1 species
UUAAAUUGAAGAGUUUGAUCAUGGCUCAGAUUGAACGCUGGCGGCAGGCCUAACACAUGCAAGUCGAACGGUAACAGGAAGCAGCUUGCUGCUUCGCUGACGAGUGGCGGACGGGUGAGUAAUGUCUGGGAAACUGCCUGAUGGAGGGGGAUAACUACUGGAAACGGUGGCUAAUACCGCAUAACGUCGCAAGACCAAAGAGGGGGACCUUCGGGCCUCUUGCCAUCAGAUGUGCCCAGAUGGGAUUAGCUAGUUGGUGAGGUAACGGCUCACCAAGGCGACGAUCCCUAGCUGGUCUGAGAGGAUGACCAGCCACACUGGAACUGAGACACGGUCCAGACUCCUACGGGAGGCAGCAGUGGGGAAUAUUGCACAAUGGGCGCAAGCCUGAUGCAGCCAUGCCGCGUGUAUGAAGAAGGCCUUCGGGUUGUAAAGUACUUUCAGCGGGGAGGAAGGUGUUGUGGUUAAUAACCGCAGCAAUUGACGUUACCCGCAGAAGAAGCACCGGCUAACUCCGUGCCAGCAGCCGCGGUAAUACGGAGGGUGCAAGCGUUAAUCGGAAUUACUGGGCGUAAAGCGCACGCAGGCGGUCUGUCAAGUCGGAUGUGAAAUCCCCGGGCUCAACCUGGGAACUGCAUUCGAAACUGGCAGGCUUGAGUCUUGUAGAGGGGGGUAGAAUUCCAGGUGUAGCGGUGAAAUGCGUAGAGAUCUGGAGGAAUACCGGUGGCGAAGGCGGCCCCCUGGACAAAGACUGACGCUCAGGUGCGAAAGCGUGGGGAGCAAACAGGAUUAGAUACCCUGGUAGUCCACGCCGUAAACGAUGUCUACUUGGAGGUUGUGCCCUUGAGGCGUGGCUUCCGGAGCUAACGCGUUAAGUAGACCGCCUGGGGAGUACGGCCGCAAGGUUAAAACUCAAAUGAAUUGACGGGGGCCCGCACAAGCGGUGGAGCAUGUGGUUUAAUUCGAUGCAACGCGAAGAACCUUACCUGGUCUUGACAUCCACGGAAGUUUUCAGAGAUGAGAAUGUGCCUUCGGGAACCGUGAGACAGGUGCUGCAUGGCUGUCGUCAGCUCGUGUUGUGAAAUGUUGGGUUAAGUCCCGCAACGAGCGCAACCCUUAUCCUUUGUUGCCAGCGAUUAGGUCGGGAACUCAAAGGAGACUGCCAGUGAUAAACUGGAGGAAGGUGGGGAUGACGUCAAGUCAUCAUGGCCCUUACGACCAGGGCUACACACGUGCUACAAUGGCGCAUACAAAGAGAAGCGACCUCGCGAGAGCAAGCGGACCUCAUAAAGUGCGUCGUAGUCCGGAUUGGAGUCUGCAACUCGACUCCAUGAAGUCGGAAUCGCUAGUAAUCGUGGAUCAGAAUGCCACGGUGAAUACGUUCCCGGGCCUUGUACACACCGCCCGUCACACCAUGGGAGUGGGUUGCAAAAGAAGUAGGUAGCUUAACCUUCGGGAGGGCGCUUACCACUUUGUGAUUCAUGACUGGGGUGAAGUCGUAACAAGGUAACCGUAGGGGAACCUGCGGUUGGAUCACCUCCUUACCUUAAAGAA